GACGUAGGGCGCGAGCGUUGUCCGGAUUUAUUGGGCGUAAAGAGCUCGUAGGCGGCUUGUUGCGUCGACUGUGAAAACCUGCGGCUCAACCGUGUGGUCUGCAGUCGAUACGGGCAGGCUGGAGUUCGGUAGGGGAGACUGGAAUUCCUGGUGUAGCGGUGAAAUGCGCAGAUAUCAGGAGGAACACCGGUGGCGAAGGCGGGUCUCUGGAGCGGUACUGACGCUGAGACGCGAAAGCGUGGGGAGCGAACAGG
rnacentral:rRNA from 1 species